UACGUAGGGGGCGAGCGCUGUCCGGAUUCAUUGGGCGUAAAGAGCUCGUAGGCGGCUUGGCAAGUCGGAUGUGAAAACUCCAGGCUCAACCUGGAGCCGCCAUUCGAUACUGCUAUGGCUAGAGUCCGGUAGGGGAGUGUGGAAUUCCCGGUGUAGCGGUGAAAUGCGCAGAUAUCGGGAGGAACACCGAUGGCGAAGGCAGCACUCUGGGCCGGCACUGACGCUGAGGAGCGAAAGCGUGGGGAGCGAACAGG
rnacentral:rRNA from 1 species